rnacentral:rRNA from 1 species
AGACCCGAAACCCGGUGAUCUAGCCAUGGGCAGGUUGAAGGUUGGGUAACACUAACUGGAGGACCGAACCGACUAAUGUUGAAAAAUUAGCGGAUGACCUGUGGCUGGGGGUGAAAGGCCAAUCAAACCGGGAGAUAGCUGGUUCUCCCCGAAAGCUAUUUAGGUAGCGCCUCGUGAAUUCAUCUCCGGGGGUAGAGCACUGUUUCGGCUAGGGGGCCAUCCCGGCUUACCAACCCGAUGCAAACUGCGAAUACCGGAGAAUGUUAUCACGGGAGACACACGGCGGGUGCUAACGUCCGUCGUGAAGAGGGAAACAACCCAGACCGCCAGCUAAGGUCCCAAAGUCAUGGUUAAGUGGGAAACGAUGUGGGAAGGCCCAGACAGCCAGGAUGUUGGCUUAGAAGCAGCCAUCAUUUAAAGAAAGCGUAAUAGCUCACUGGUCGAGUCGGCCUGCGCGGAAGAUGUAACGGGGCUAAACCAUGCACCGAAGCUGCGGCAGCGACACUGUGUGUUGUUGGGUAGGGGAGCGUUCUGUAAGCCUGUGAAGGUGUGUCGUGAGGCAUGCUGGAGGUAUCAGAAGUGCGAAUGCUGACAUAAGUAACGAUAAAGCGGGUGAAAAGCCCGCUCGCCGGAAGACCAAGGGUUCCUGUCCAACGUUAAUCGGGGCAGGGUGAGUCGACCCCUAAGGCGAGGCCGAAAGGCGUAGUCGAUGGGAAACGGGUUAAUAUUCCCGUACUUGGUGUUACUGCGAAGGGGGGACGGAGAAGGCUAUGUUGGCCGGGCGACGGUUGUCCCGGUUUAAGCGUGUAGGUGUGUGUUCCAGGUAAAUCCGGUUCACUUUAACACUGAGGCGUGACGACGAGGCACUACGGUGCUGAAGCAACAAAUGCCCUGCUUCCAGGAAAAGCCUCUAAGCAUCAGGUAACAUCAAAUCGUACCCCAAACCGACACAGGUGGUCAGGUAGAGAAUACCAAGGCGCUUGAGAGAACUCGGGUGAAGGAACUAGGCAAAAUGGUGCCGUAACUUCGGGAGAAGGCACGCUGACACGUAGGUGAAGUGAUUUACUCAUGGAGCUGAAGUCAGUCGAAGAUACCAGCUGGCUGCAACUGUUUAUUAAAAACACAGCACUGUGCAAACACGAAAGUGGACGUAUACGGUGUGACGCCUGCCCGGUGCCGGAAGGUUAAUUGAUGGGGUCAGCGCAAGCGAAGCUCCUGAUCGAAGCCCCGGUAAACGGCGGCCGUAACUAUAACGGUCCUAAGGUAGCGAAAUUCCUUGUCGGGUAAGUUCCGACCUGCACGAAUGGCGUAAUGAUGGCCAGGCUGUCUCCACCCGAGACUCAGUGAAAUUGAACUCGCUGUGAAGAUGCAGUGUACCCGCGGCAAGACGGAAAGACCCCGUGAACCUUUACUAUAGCUUGACACUGAACAUUGAGCCUUGAUGUGUAGGAUAGGUGGGAGGCUUUGAAGUGUGGACGCCAGUCUGCAUGGAGCCGACCUUGAAAUACCACCCUUUAAUGUUUGAUGUUCUAACGUGGACCCGUUACCCGGGUUGCGGACAGUGUCUGGUGGGUAGUUUGACUGGGGCGGUCUCCUCCUAAAGAGUAACGGAGGAGCACGAAGGUUGGCUAAUCCUGGUCGGACAUCAGGAGGUUAGUGCAAUGGCAUAAGCCAGCUUGACUGCGAGCGUGACGGCGCGAGCAGGUGCGAAAGCAGGUCAUAGUGAUCCGGUGGUUCUGAAUGGAAGGGCCAUCGCUCAACGGAUAAAAGGUACUCCGGGGAUAACAGGCUGAUACCGCCCAAGAGUUCAUAUCGACGGCGGUGUUUGGCACCUCGAUGUCGGCUCAUCACAUCCUGGGGCUGAAGUAGGUCCCAAGGGUAUGGCUGUUCGCCAUUUAAAGUGGUACGCGAGCUGGGUUUAGAACGUCGUGAGACAGUUCGGUCCCUAUCUGCCGUGGGCGCUGGAGAACUGAGGGGGGCUGCUCCUAGUACGAGAGGACCGGAGUGGACGCAUCACUGGUGUUCGGGUUGUCAUGCCAAUGGCACUGCCCGGUAGCUAAAUGCGGAAGAGAUAAGUGCUGAAAGCAUCUAAGCACGAAACUUGCCCCGAGAUGAGUUCUCCCUGAGACUUAGAGUCUCCUGAAGGAACGUUGAAGACGACGACGUUG